UUCCAGCUCCAAUAGCGUAUACUUAAGUUGUUGCAGUUAAAAAGCUCGUAGUUGGAUUUCGGAUGGGAUCUGCCGGUCCGCCUUUGAGGUGUGUACUGGUAGGUCCUAUCUUGUUGUCGGGGACUAGCUCCUGGGCUUCACUGUCCGGGACUAGGAGCCGACGAAGUUACUUUGAGUAAAUUAGAGUGUUCAAAGCAAGCCUACGCUCUGAAUAUAUUAGCAUGGAAUAACACGAUAGGACUCUGGCUUAUCUUGUUGGUCUGUGAGACCAGAGUAAUGAUUAAGAGGGACAGUCGGGGACAUUCGUAUUUCAUUGUCAGAGGUGAAACUCUUGGAUUUAUGAAAGACGAACUUCUGCGAAAGCAUUUGUCAAGGAUGUUUUCAUCG
rnacentral:rRNA from 1 species